CGUGCUCUUCUUGAUUGUUGAACUUGGAUUUUCAUUUCCUUCAAGAGAAUCAAGUAAAUUUCUGGCUAUUUUUCCUGCUAUUCUCGAGAUUUGAUAAUUUUAUUGUUCAAGGUAUUUAGUAUCUUCUAUACAUUAUGCACUUUGAAUAGAGGAUGGGCUGCCAUGACUAAUCUUGAUUCAACUGGAGUUCCAAGUUCAAGUGAGCUUGAGGUUCUUGUAAUUAUAUUUCUUCUGUUUAAUCUUUUUUGAGACAUUAAAGUUCUUACGGGAAAAAUUAACUCUUGUAUCAGGGAAAAUACAAGGCAGUGGUGGAUUGUUGGUUUCUUUGAUUGGGAUCCCUUGUUUUCAUGGAACUUUAUGCUGAUAAUCGGAGAUUACUAUUAUAAUUUAUUCCCAGUAAGCACUUAUAUCCAUCUUUUUACUGCUUAGAAUGAU
rnacentral:lncRNA from 1 species